rnacentral:rRNA from 1 species
UACAGAGGGUGCAAGCGUUAAUCGGAAUUAUUUGGGCGUAAAGCGCAUGUAGGUGGUUUUUGUAAGUUUGAUGUGAAAGCCCUGGGCCUAACCUGGGAAUGGCGUUUGAAAACUGCAAGACUAGAGUCAAACAGAGGGCCGUGGAAUUUUCCGGUGUAGCGGUGAAAUGCGUAGAGAUCGGAAAGAAUAUCGAUGGCGAAGGCAGCGGCCUGGGUUUUAGACUGACACUGAGGUGCGAGAGCGUGGGGGAGCAAACAGG